AUUGAACGCUGGCGGCAGGCCUAACACAUGCAAGUCGAGCGGAACGGCGGACGGGUGAGUAAUGCCUAGGAAUCUGCCUGGUAGUGGGGGAUCACGUCCGGAAACGGGCGCUAAUACCGCAUACUAGCAGAUGAGCCUCGGUCGGAUUAGCUAGUUGGUGGGGUAACGGCCUACCAAGGCGACGAUCCGUAACUGGGCUGAGAGGAGGAUCAGUCACACUGGAACUGAGACACGGUCCAGACUCCUACGGGAGGCAGCAGUGGGGAAUAUUGGACAAUGGGCGAAAGCCUGAACCAGCCAUGCCGCGUGUGUGAAGAAGGUCUUCGGAUUGUAAAGCUCUUUAAGUUGGGAGGCGGUACCAACAGAAUAAGCACCGGCUAACUUCGUGCCAGCAGCCGCGGUAAUAC
rnacentral:rRNA from 1 species